rnacentral:misc_RNA from 1 species
AACGGUCUAUACCUGCGGUACCUGCGGAGGGAUCAUUGUCGGUUCCAUUUUGUGGGUUAUUUCGUGUGGGUGUAAUGUAAUCCGCCUUUUGCGGUUCGGGUGCUUUCCCCCGAUACUUGGGCGGAGGGUUACCUCUCGAAAGGGAGGGUCGCCCUCUGAGCCAAAAACGGUGUCUUAAUGCCUUGUCGUCGAAUGUCUAAUAGAGUCGCCUCGUGCGAUUAGUAUGAAUUACAACUUUUA